rnacentral:rRNA from 1 species
UAUACUGUGAAACUGCGAAUGGCUCAUUAAAUCAGUUAUCGUUUAUUUGAUAGUACCUUACUACUUGGGUAACCGUGGUAAUUCUAGAGCUAAUACAUGCUAAAAACCUCGACUUCGGAAGGGGUGUAUUUAUUAGAUAAAAAACCAAUGCCCUUCGGGGCUCCUUGGUGAAUCAUAAUAACUUAACGAAUCGCAUGGCCUUGUGCCGGCGAUGGUUCAUUCAAAUUUCUGCCCUAUCAACUUUCGAUGGUAGGAUAGUGGCCUACCAUGGUUUCAACGGGUAACGGGGAAUUAGGGUUCUAUUCCGGAGAGGGAGCCUGAGACACGGCUACCACAUCCAAGGAAGGCAGCAGGCGCGCAAAUUACCCAAUCCCGACGCGGGGAGGUAGUGACAAUAAAUACUGAUACAGGGCUCUUUUGGGUCUUGUAAUUGGAAUGAGUACAAUUUAAAUCCCUUAACGAGGAACAAUUGGAGGGCAAGUCUGGUGCCAGCAGCCGCGGUAAUUCCAGCUCCAAUAGCGUAUAUUAAAGUUGUUGCAGUUAAAAAGCUCGUAGUUGAACCUUGGGCCUGGCUGGCCGGUCCGCCUCACCGCGUGCACUGGUCCGGCCGGGCCUUUCCUUCUGGGGAGCCGCAUGCCCUUCACUGGGUGUGUCGGGGAACCAGGACUUUUACUUUGAAAAAAUUAGAGUGUUCAAAGCAGGCCUAUGCUCGAAUACAUUAGCAUGGAAUAAUAGAAUAGGACGUGUGGUUCUAUUUUGUUGGUUUCUAGGACCGCCGUAAUGAUUAAUAGGGAUAGUCGGGGGCAUCAGUAUUCAAUUGUCAGAGGUGAAAUUCUUGGAUUUAUUGAAGACUAACUACUGCGAAAGCAUUUGCCAAGGAUGUUUUCAUUAAUCAGUGAACGAAAGUUAGGGGAUCGAAGACGAUCAGAUACCGUCGUAGUCUUAACCAUAAACUAUGCCGACUAGGGAUCGGGCGAUGUUACUUUUUUGACUCGCUCGGCACCUUACGAGAAAUCAAA